rnacentral:rRNA from 1 species
UACGGAAGGCAGCAGUGGGGAAUAUUGGACAAUGGGCGAAAGCCUGAUCCAGCCAUGCCGCAUGAGUGAAGAAGGCCUUCGGGUUGUAAAGCUCUUUUAGUGAGAAAGAUAAUGACGGUACUCACAGAAGAAGUCCUGGCUAACUCCGUGCCAGCAGCCGCGGUAAUACGGAGAGGGCUAGCGUUAUUCGGAAUUAUUGGGCGUAAAGAGCGCGUAGGCUGAUUAGUAAGUUAAAAGUGAAAUCCCAAAGCUUAACUUUGGAAUUGCUUUUUAAAACUGCUAGUCUAGAGAUUGAAAGAGGAUAGAGGAAUUCCUAGUGUAGAGGUGAAAUUCGUAAAUAUUAGGAGGAACACCAGUGGCGAAGGCGUCUAUCUGGUUCAAAUCUGACGCUGAGGCGCGAAGGGCGUGGGGAGCGAAACAGGGAUUAGAUACCCGU